rnacentral:rRNA from 1 species
GAUGAACGCUAGCUACAGGCUUAACACAUGCAAGUCGAGGGGCAGCACAGUGUAGCAAUACAUGGGUGGCGACCGGCGCACGGGUGCGUAACGCGUAUCCAACCUUCCCGUUACUCUUGGAUAGCCUUCCGAAAGGGAGAUUAAUACAAGAUGGUAUUCAAAUUCCGCAUGUUAUUUGAAUUAAAGAUUUAUCGGUAACGGAUGGGGAUGCGUGACAUUAGAUAGUAGGCGGGGUAACGGCCCACCUAGUCUACGAUGUCUAGGGGUUCUGAGAGGAAGGUCCCCCACACUGGCACUGAGACACGGGCCAGACUCCUACGGGAGGCAGCAGUGAGGAAUAUUGGUCAAUGGGCGGAAGCCUGAACCAGCCAAGUAGCGUGCAGGAUGACGGCCCUACGGGUUGUAAACUGCUUUUGUAUGAGGGUAAAAUUAGAUACGUGUAUCUAACUGCAAGUAUCAUACGAAUAAGGAUCGGCUAACUCCGUGCCAGCAGCCG